GUUGAACGCUGGCGGCAGGCCUAACACAUGCAAGUCGAGCGGAUGAGAGGAGCUUGCUCCUCGAUUCAGCGGCGGACGGGUGAGUAAUGCCUAGGAAUCUGCCUAGUAGUGGGGGACAACGUUUCGAAAGGAACGCUAAUACCGCAUACGUCCUACGGGAGAAAGUGGGGGAUCUUCAGACCUCACGCUAUUAGAUGAGCCUAGGUCGGAUUAGCUAGUUGGUAGGGUAACGGCCUACCAAGGCGACGAUCCGUAACUGGUCUGAGAGGAUGAUCAGUCACACUGGAACUGAGACACGGUCCAGACUCCUACGGGAGGCAGCAGUGGGGAAUAUUGGACAAUGGGCGAAAGCCUGAUCCAGCCAUGCCGCGUGUGUGAAGAAGGCCCUCGGGUCGUAAAGCGCUUUAAGUUGGGAGGAAGGGCUUACAGCGAAUACCUGUGAGUUUUGACGCUACCGACAGAGUAAGCACCGGCUAACUUCGUGCCAGCCGCCGCCGUAA
rnacentral:rRNA from 1 species